CUUUUCGAGGUAGGAGUCGACUCCUGUGAGGUAUGGUGCUGGGUGCAGAUGCAGUGUGGCUCUGGAUAGCACCUUAUGGACAGUUGUGUCCCCAAGGAAGGAUGAGAAUAGCUACUGAAGUCCUAAAGAGCAAGCCUAACUCAAGCCAUUGGCACACAGGCAUUAGACAGAAAGCUGGAAGUUGAAAUGUUUUGGCAGGGGGUGAACACUCAUCUGUGGCUAUUCUAAGACCACUCUUAUUUCUUAGGUGGAGUCCAACUUGCCUGGACCAGCUUAAUGGUUCUGCUCCUGGUAACGUUUUUAUCCAUGGAUGACUUGCUUGGGUAAGGACAUGAAGACAGUUCCUGUCAUACCUUUUAAAGGUAUGGAGAGUCGGCUUGACUACACUGUGUGGAGCAAGUUUUAAAGAAGCAAAGGACUCAGAAUUCAUGAUUGAAGAAAUGCAGGCAGACCUGUUAUCCUAAACUAGGGUUUUUAAUGACCACAACAAGCAAGCAUGCAGCUUACUGCUUGAAAGGGUCUUGCCUCACCCAAGCUAGAGUGCAGUGGCCUUUGAAGCUUACUACAGCCUCAAACUUCUGGGCUCAAGUGAUCCUCAGCCUCCCAGUGGUCUUUGUAGACUGCCUGAUGGAGUCUCAUGGCACAAGAAGAUUAAAACAGUGUCUCCAAUUUUAAUAAAUUUUUGCAAUCCA
rnacentral:lncRNA from 1 species